UACGUAGGGCGCAAGCGUUAUCCGGAAUUAUUGGGCGUAAAGAGCUCGUAGGCGGUUUGUCGCGUCUGCCGUGAAAGUCCGGGGCUCAACUCCGGAUCUGCGGUGGGUACGGGCAGACUAGAGUGAUGUAGGGGAGACUGGAAUUCCUGGUGUAGCGGUGAAAUGCGCAGAUAUCAGGAGGAACACCGAUGGCGAAGGCAGGUCUCUGGGCAUUAACUGACGCUGAGGAGAGAAAGCAUGGGGAGCGAACAGGAUUAGAAAACCCCGUAGUCC
rnacentral:rRNA from 1 species